rnacentral:rRNA from 1 species
GUGUCAGCAGCCGCGGUAAUACAGAGGGUGCGAGCGUUAAUCGGAAUUACUGGGCGUAAAGCGCGCGUAGGCGGUCUUGUAAGUCGGGUGUGAAAGCCCCGGGCUCAACCUGGGAACUGCAUUCGAGACUGCAAGACUGGAGUAUUGGAGAGGGCAGCGGAAUUUCCGGUGUAGCGGUGAAAUGCGUAGAUAUCGGAAGGAACAUCAGUGGCGAAAGCGGCUGCCUGGCCAAAUACUGACGCUCAUGUGCGAAAGCGUGGGGAGCAAACAGGAUUAGAAACCCCCGUAGUCC